rnacentral:rRNA from 1 species
CUAAGAUAGUAAGAGCAUACGGUGGAUGCCUUGGCGAUAUCUGCCGAUGAAGGACGCGACAAGCUGCGAAAAGCUGCGGAGAGGUGCAAAUGACCAUUGACCCGCAGAUCUCCGAAUGGAGCAAUCCGGCAGGGUUUAUCCCCUGUCACCCAUAUCUUCGAAUAUGGGAGGGAACCGGGCGAACUGAAACAUCUAAGUAGCCCGAGGAAGAGUAAUCAAACGAGAUACCCCAAGUAGCGGCGAGCGAACGGGGCCUAAGCCCAAACCGGUGAAGGAAACUUUGCCGGGGUUGAGGACUGCCAUACGAACUAGCCCAUUAGCCGAAAUUCCUGGGAAGGAAUGCCGAAGAAUGUGAAAGCCAUGUAAGCGAAAAUGGAAAAGGGACAGGCAGCACCAGAGUACCGCGGGACACGAGAAACCCCGUGGGAAGCCGGGGGGACCACCCUCCAAGGCAAAACACAGAUAUCGACCGAUAGCGCAUAGUACCAUGAGGGAAAGGUGAAAAGCACCCCGGGAGGGGAAUGAAAGAGAACCUGAAACCGUAUGUUUACAAGCAGUCGAAGACCGCUUAAUAAUAAGGUCAACGGCGUGCCUAUUGAAGAAUGAACCGGCGAGUUAUGAGGUCCAGCAAGGUUAAGCAGGAAAUGCGGAGCCGAAGCGAAAGCGAGUCUUAAUAGGGCGACAAGUUGGAUUGCAUAGACCCGAAACCACAGUGAUCUACCCAUGUCCAGGCUGAAGCACAGGUAAAAAUGUGUGGAGGGCCGAACCUAUAUCCGUUGAAAAGGGUUAGGAUGAGGUGUGGGUAGGGGUGAAAUUCCAAUCGAACGUGGAGAUAGCUGGUUCUCCCCGAAAUAGCUUUAGGGCUAGCCUCGAGGUAGAGAUUGCAGGCGGUAGAGCACUGAUCAGGAGAGGGGCCUACCCGGCUACCAAACCCAGUCAAACUACGAAUGGCUGCAAUUAUACUCGGGAGUCAGACUACGACUUAUAAGGGCCGUGGUCAAAAGGGAAACAGCCCAGAUCAUCAGCUAAGGUCCCAAAUGCCGUGCUAAGUGGCGAAGGAUGUGGCGUUUCAUAAACAACCAGGAUGUUGGCUCAGAAGCAGCCACCAUUUAAAGAGUGCGUAAUAGCUCACUGGUCGAGAGACGCUGCGCCGAAAAUGUCCGGGGCUCAAGCACGGAACCGAAGCUAUGGCAUGAUAGCAAUAUCAUGGGUAGGGGAGCGUUCUUAACAGGAAGAAGCAUGACCGGAAGGACAUGUGGACCGUUAAGAAGUGAGAAUGCCGGUAUGAGUAUCGAAAAGAAAGGUGAGAAUCCUUUCCACCGAAAGCCCGAGGGUUCCUGAGCAACGAUCGUCGUCUCAGGGUAAGUCGGGACCUAAGCCGAGGCGGAGACGCAUAGGCGAUGGACAACAGGUUGAAAUUCCUGUACCGGAUACAAUCGUUUGAGCGAUGGAGCGACGCAGAAAGGCAUAUGAUCGCGCGACUGGAAGAGCGCGUCCAAGUGCGUAUGUUGAAUCGGAGGCAAAUCCCUGAUUCUGAAAGCAGAGACACGAUGGGGAGUUAUACGAAAGUAUGACGAACUCAUAGAUCCUACACUGCCAAGAAAAACUUCUAGUGAGAAAGUAUCCGCCCGUACCGUAAACCGACACAGGUAGGCGGGGAGAGAAUCCUAAGGUGCGCGGGAAAACCCUCGUUAAGGAACUCGGCAAAUUGCAUCCGUAACUUAGGGAGAAGGAUGACCUUAAGUAAGCGAAAGGGAGAAACCCCUGGAACAGAACAAGGUGGCAGAAAAGAGGCCCAAGCAACUGUUUACCAAAAACACAGGUGCCUGCGAAAGCGAAAGCUGAAGUAUAGGUGCUGACGCCUGCCCGGUGCUGGAAGGUUAAGGAGAGAUGUCAGAGCAAUCGAAGCAUUGAACUGAAGCCCCAGUGAACGGCGGCCGUAACUAUAACGGUCCUAAGGUAGCGAAAUUCCUUGUCGGGUAAGUUCCGACCCGCAUGAAAGGCGUAAUGAUUUGGGCGCUGUCUCAACGAGGGGCCCGGUGAAAUUGAAAUACCUGUGAAGAUGCAGGUUACCCGCGACUGGACAGAAAGACCCCAUGGAGCUUCACUGCAGCUUGAGAUUGAAUCUCGGUGAUGCAUGCACAGGAUAGGUGGGAGACUUUGAAGUAUGGGCUUUGGCUUAUACCGAGUCGAUGUUGGGAUACCACCCUUGUAUUGCUGAGAUUCUAACACGGAGGCUAACAACCUCGUGGACCAUCUCAGGUAGGCGGUUUGACUGGGGCGGUCGCCUCCGAAAGAGUAA